GAGAGAAAGUAAGCUUUGGUUCCGUCUGGAUCUCAUUACUAGCUCAGCCCCGCAGGGAGAAAUGAAUUAAAGUAAUGAAAAGUAACAAUAAUAAUAACAAAGAUUAUCUGCGUCAUUGUGCUUAUCAAAACAGAAGCAAUGGAGAUUUGCUGGGUUUGCGGGCAGAAACAAACAACCAUCAGCUUCAGUCUGUAAGAACAUUAGAUAGAAGGACAGAGGAUUUUGCUUUUCCUUCUCUUGUGGCAAUGCGGAGGGCUGGAGGAGGGGAAGGGGAUCUUUGUUAUUCCAGCAAAGUUCAUGCCCGAGUCAAACUUGGGCCAGUGGGCCGGUCACACGCUACAGUCGUGAUUGGGGAAUCUGAGGGAAAGGGAGCAGGUUACAGAGGGUGAAAUGUGAAAGAGCAGAAGCAGACGGCACACAGACUGGCAGGAAGCAGCAGGGUCAGCUUCAGUGUUUUGACAGAGUAUGGACACAGACGGCAGUGUGUGUUUGGAGAGAGAAACAGGAGAAGUAUGGUGGAAUUGCUCAAACAAUGAUAUUAGGUUAUGCCCCUGGAGGACAAGACAUUCCUUUAAAACAUCCUCAGCCAGAGAGGAUUACAUAUACAGAAAUAUUACUCACACUGUCAUCAUAUGUGCAAUGUAAACAGAAUGUAUGGCGGCAAAAAAUUGAAAUUAAAUGUCCCAUUGCUCUUAAAUAAACCCACUCCAUCUA